rnacentral:rRNA from 1 species
GACGAACGCUGGCGGCGUGCUUAAUACAUGCAAGUCGAACGGAAAGGCCCUGCUCUUGUGGCGUGCUCGAGUGGCGAACGGGUGAGUAACACGUGAGUAACCUGCCCCUGACAUUGGGAUAACAUCAGGAAACUGGGGCUAAUAUCGGAUAUGAGCUCUUGCUGCAUGGUGGGGGAUGGAAAGAUUCGGCGGUUGGGGAUGGACUGGCGGGUUACCGGCUUGUUGGUGGGGUAGUUGCUGUCCAAGCGUACGACGGGUAGCCUGCCUGGGAGGGGAGCCGGGGUCAAUGGGACUAAGAGAGGGCCCAGACGCCUACGGGAGGCAGCGGGGGGGAGUAUUGCAGAAUAGGCGGGAGCCAGAGACAGCGACGCCGCGAGCGGGAAGACCGCCUUCGGGUUAUGAACCGCUUUGGAAGGAGACGAGGCGGGAGUGACGGUAAUGAAUAAGAAAGCCCCGGCUAACUACGUG